GAACAGUAACAGGCAGGAAAAUGGUGCAUGCAGGCAUACCUCUUUUCAUACUCUUCCGCAAUGCCUUCAGACGAUUGUCUCAGUUAAGCUUUGUGACUUUUGGCAUGAAUUUUACCAGCUCCAAGGAGGAAGAGAAUGUUGCAUAUUUUCUCUAAGCCAAGAAGGAGGAGAAAGAAGAGGAAAAAGACUGCCUUCAAUCUUUCUGCUGGAGCUGAUGCUAUAUACUUUCUUGCGGAAAAAAGUUGUGUGAAAAAAUAAUCUGUAAGUGUGAAUGGCACGAAAAUGGAAUUAUCCAUCAAAUGGAGGGAGUGAUUCCUCCAAGUCAGCCCACUAUGGUCAAAAGAAGGCUUUCCACCUAUUCUCAUUUGUGCUACACUCAGACAGUGCUCUGUUGCUCAAGUAUUGAGCUAUGCUGAUGUCAUGUAGCAGAAGAUCCCGCAGCACAGCAGCCCACCUAUCUGCCAUGUGUAUUACAUAGGUUUCAAGAAAAUGGAAUUACAAGCAGAAGAAGCCGCUGCAUGGAAGGUCUGCUGCUGUGCUGCCCGCUGGAGACUUGCCUUGCGGUGAGGGCUACAGACACAAAAACAGCUUGGCACUGGGAGCUCCAUCUUGCUGUGGCAUAAGCUGGCUUCCUGCUGACUCCAGAUCUGCCUUCACACAGGUUGCUCUAGAUUGAGAUGAUAGAGUGGAGGCAAGUACUGUGCACUGGACUAGAGAAGUGUGUCAGCCAUAAAGGACAGCACACAGCAGCUAUGCUUUGUCUGGCACAGCAUUUUGUAGGGUUAAAAGGGAGUGACUGGAGUGUAGGGCCAUGCCAGCCAGUUUAGUCUCACCCAAGAGGUCCCAGAUUUGGUUCAAUGUGGUGAUGAAACUGCUGAGACUUUAUAAACCCAGACUUACUUAAGGAGGGAUUGACAGAGCAAACUAUGACUAGGUUUUGUCACAGCAACCUAUAUGUCCAGAAUGGAAGUGCUAAGCCAACACUAGGAGGAGCAUAGAGCUGUGGACCCCUGUUUGCCUUUCAACUACAACUUUCUUGCAUUGCAGUUUCUUCUACACAUCUCCGGUUUCACAUGAUAUAAUAUUUGGCCCAGUAAAUGCAAGGCUUGGGUUUGGUCUCUAGUCAGAUGGUACCCAAAAAUAAGCAUCAAAAUAUCCACCGCUUAUUAAAAAGUCAAGAAGAAGAAAGAACAGACACAAAAUACAGUUUAGUCACCAUAAAGAAACCACCACCAAAAAGGCUGGGUAGGUAUCAGAUCAUCUUUUUGCAGAACAUUUCUUCUGAGAUAUAUGAAGGUGGGAAGACAGCCACUGGUAGAAUUUCCCCUAUUGCAAUGCCUCUUUAUUAUUUCAUUAAAAUCCUUGUAAUACACAAAACAAUAAAAGAAAGCAACUUGAAAGUUC
rnacentral:lncRNA from 7 species